rnacentral:lncRNA from 1 species
GGCAAUUACUAGGAUAGGCACCAAAAUCUGGAAAUUCCCACACUAGCAGGUUCCCUGCACCCUGCUCCCUCCUUGGAUGGAAGGAAUCUGUUUGCGGCGAUUGUAGACUACAGCGAGGCUUCCUCAGAACUUGCAAACCAGGGUUCAUUACCCUCCUUGUAGAGAGGGCCACUAUUUCAAGGAUUAACCUUGAGGCAGCUAGUUGGCAAGACCGGAAAUAAUUUGGUACUAGCAUCCCUACCCCACAGAGUAUGAGGUACAACCAGGGUGCCGCGAGGGAACAGCUGUCCACCCUGACUCACUACUGUUGCAAUCUGGGAAGUGUAUUUGGGCCUGUUUAUCUCUCCCCAGGGCAGGGCCAAGCUUGACCAAUGGAGCCUCCCAUCUCAGGAGCUCAAAGGCAAACAAGUUUGGAGAGAAUAUAAUGCUUGGAGCAAGACAUCAUUUGAUGGAACGGAGUCAGGGGGAGCUCAGGAACACGCAGGUCAGACAGCAGCGAGGAUAGGAAGAUUUCAUCUCCUGCGCUAUCAUCACCAUGGAUUGUUUUACUUGCUACCUGUGGCAACAGGCUCCUUGGACAAACAGCAAUCCCCCUAAAGCGGCGUGAUUCAGAGAGAACGUGGAACUUAGAGACAGACAACCCCUUCCAGCCCAAGGUCUGCUGCCUAUUACUGAUAUCAUCUGGGCAAGUAACCUAACCUUUCUGCUUCGGUUUACUCCUCUGUAAAAUGGGGUGAUAGUACCAGCACUAUCCUUGCCUAGAUCAAAUAGAAUAGAUGCUACAUAUCAUCAACCUCAUCCCCACCCACACCCCAUACACACACACCAACAUACACACACCCUGAUGCCCAGGCUCAAGGAGGGAGAAAGAUUGGAAAUUAUUUACUCGUCCAUCUGGAGUGAGCUCACCUGGGCCAGCUGCCAGCUGUAGCCUCCUGUGCUUUUGCUUCCUUCCCUGCCUGAUCUGGAAAUGCUGAAGGCUCCAGACUGGGCCCUCGGGUCUCUGUUCUUCUUUAGCUACAUUUCAUCCCUGGAUGACUUCAUCCAGUCUCCACUUCAAUUGCCAUGAGUACUCUGAC